rnacentral:rRNA from 1 species
UACGUAGGGUGCGAGCGUUAAUCGGAAUUACUUGGCGUAAAGCGUGCGCAGGCGGUUCGCCAAGUCAGGGGUGAAAUCCCCGGGCUUAACCUGGGAAUUGCGCUUGAAACUAGCGGGCUUGAGUGCGGCAGAGGGGGGUGGAAUUCCACGUGUAGCAGUGAAAUGCGUAGAGAUGUGGAGGAACACCGAUGGCGAAGGCAGCCCCCUGGGUCGACACUGACGCUCAUGCACGAAAGCGUGGGGAGCAAACAGG